UCGGAUUGUAGUCUGCAACCCGACUACAUGAAGCUGGAAUCGCUAGUAAUCGCGGAUCAGAAUGCCGCGGUGAAUACGUUCCCGGGUCUUGUACACACCGCCCGUCACACCAUGGGAGUCGGAAAUGCCCGAAGUCUGUGACCCAACCUUAGGGAGGGAGCAGCCGAGGGCAGGUCGGAUGACUGGGGUGAAGUCGUAACAAGGUAAC
rnacentral:rRNA from 1 species